UUUCCUUUGGCUCAGUCAGUAGAGCAUUGCACUAGCAACGCAAAGGUUGUGGGUUCAAAUCACAGGACAAA
rnacentral:tRNA from 1 species